AGGUCAUACGUUGAGUUCCCUUUUCCGAUCUCAACCUUCGCCAGUUAAAAAAAAUAAAAACCCCUCGUUUCUAAGUCCUUCCCCAUUUCGUUUCUGAAUUUUCCGAGAAAUCAACCGAAUUUAUUUGAGCGAUCUACAAUGGAGAAGCUUCGGACUUCUCAAUUCAAAUCAGUUGUUGACGGCCCACCUAUAUCAUUGUCCUCUCAAAAUUUCCUCUUCUCAAGUUCAGGUUUAAAUUCGCUUUCUUCCUGCUUCCCGACAAUUGUUUGGUCUUUCUGUUGUGACCAUCCAGGUUGAUGAUGGAUGCGGUUAAAGUUUCUUAUUGUGUGACAUUAUUUGCUCUAAUUGCUGGCAUGAUGAUGUUUACAUCCAUAAUCACGAUGUUUGCAUCUAACUAUGUCGUCAUUCCAGUGAUAUUAUUCGGAAGUGGUGGAAGGGCAGUUGAGUUCAAGGAAAAUAUGGUGGUAAUAGCUAUGCUCUUUUAUCCUCUGUUCCUCCUUGCAUAUACUUUCCUAUCUUUUAUGUUCUGUCUACUAGCCGCGCAAUUAAUAUCUUCAAGCAUUGGAGAAGGUAUGCAGCUUUCUAAGUUGUCAUUGCAGAGAAAGAAAACUAAGGUAUCUGAAUACACAAAAGAAAGUCAUUUAGAUGAUGAAACUGUUGAAAAACAAGAGUCUGUAGCCAGGAUGAUCCCCAAAAUCCUAGAGACUUCCAUGGUCUCUAUGAAAAAUCAAUCUGACAGUUCACUCAUGGGCUUUAAUCUUCGUCAGCCAGAAAGAACUGAAGAAGCUGUGCAGCUUUCUAACUCAGCAUUGCAGACAAAGAAAACGAAGAAAGCUGAGUAUAGAGAAGAAAGUCAUUUAAAUGAUGAAACUGUUGAAAAACAAGAGUCUGUAGCCAGGAUGAUCCCCAAAAUCCUAGAGACUUCCGUGAUCUCUAGGAAGAAUCAAUCUGACAAUUCACUCCUGGACUCUAAUCUUCGUCAACCAGAAAGAAUUGAACUUGACCAUCCUCCAAAGGAAAUUUCUAGCUUGCAAGCAAUUCAGUCAGUUUCGGAUGAGAUUUGCACUGGUGGAUUAGUGGAUGCAAGUUGUCUGUCAAACCCCGGGUUGAUGAAAGAGAGUACAAUAGUAGGAACAGGUUUGCUUGAUGAGGAAAGUCAUAUGAUUGGUUCAUCUGAACCUCUUGACUCAGGUAGCUUAAACAGCAUGUCUGCUGCUAGUGAAGGCAGUGGAAGGAAUGCAACCACUGCACUGGGCCGUGCAAUUAAGAAGCAGGUAGCUGAUAUCCUUGAGGAGUUUUGGGCGCUUUUCUUUGACUAUCAUGGUGCACUGACUGAAGAAGCAAAGUUGAUAAGAGUACAUUUGCUGUUGGAUUUGGCACUUGAUUCAUCUUCUGAAUUAAAGAUGCCAGCAGGUGUUGCAGAAUCACUAUCCCAAAAGUUUCCUUUAGCUGCUGAAAAGCUUCCAUUGGCAGCAAACCCUACGGACUACUACAGUGGACCUAUAUUAUCACUCACUGCUCCAAGUACUGAAUUACCUUAUUUGGUGGACGUAGGAAGUCAAUAUUGGUUACCUACAUAUCAUUCACAGUAUCACACGCCAAGUGAAAAUCAGGUAAUCUAUACCCUAGUUCCAAGUGGAUUUGGUCCAUUAUAUAGUGGUUUACACUACAUGAUACCGCCAUUUUCCAGUGGAACAAACUCCUUAUAUGACAAUACAAUGCAUUACAAUACUCUUUCUGUUCAAAGAUACGAGCAAUAUGGUGACUCGUCUGCAGAUGUAAACUUGCAACAUCUGAAUCUUGCCUUCAGAACUGAGGUAGAUCGUUCAGUAUCUGAACCAAUCCUUGGUCGUAAGGAUCUCAGGACUAAGCUCCAAGAACAGACUCCUCCUCAAUCCAGUAUAACAUUGACUUGGGGAGGCCGGGGUAUAAGUAGUGAAAAUGGUAUUCCCAAAGAGUUUCUUUCUUUUAGGGAGACAGACCGCCUUUUGAUUCAGUCUGUUAGAUUUUGUAUAAGGAAGCUGAUGAAAUUGGAGGGAUCAGGUUGGCUAUUUUUUGGCCAGAAUGAUGGAUGUGAUGAAGAACUGAUACAUUAUUUCGCUGUGGCAGAGAAACUAUUGGGUAAAGAUGAUCUUUUGCAGGAAAAUCCGAGGAGUGAGGAGGGUGGUAAGACUAUAUCUCUGCCUGUUAUACCUUACUGUGGGGAAGGCUGCAUCUUGCAAGCUCGCCUAGUUCUGAGCUUUGGUGUCUGGUGUGUUCAUCGGAUCUUGGACUUGCUACUUGUUGAGAGCCGGCCUGAGGUGUGGGGAAAAUACACAUAUGUCCUUAACCGCCUGCAGGGAAUUCUUGAUCCAGCCUUUUGCAAGCCCAGACAGCCAAUUUUUUGUUGCAAGUGUCUUCAACUUCCGGAAGCACUCCAACAUACCAAAGAGAGCCCUGGUACUGUUCAGUUCACUUCCAGGGACUUUAUCCUUGAGCUGAUAAAGGAUGUUGAAAUUUCAAUCUCUGGACGCAAAGGCCAAGCAGGUACUGGAGCAGCAAAAGUUGCUUUCCCUCAAGGGAAAAAGAACUUAGCACCAGUUUUAAAGCGCUACAAGCGACGGCUCUCAAAAUCUUCAUCGUGAAAAGGACCAUCAUUCUCGACUUCUUUGAUCAUUCCUGUUAUUUUAUACUUCAUAAUGUGAAAACCAUCCAGACUUCCCUUGGGCAGUGAACUAUUUCCGCCAGAAUUUGAGUUCCUUUAGCUUAUUGGAUUACCUUAUGCAUCUUCUAUGUUUCAAAACAUUCCGUAAUUGAUCAUUCUGCAGAAAUUGACUGAGGGUCAUAAAGGUUUAGGUUAUAUUUAUCUUCCAUGCUCCCUUUUCUUAUCCUUUAUGUUAUUUCAGCAGCUGUGACAGAAUACCUUAAUGAUGGAGCCUCACCAAUAUUCUCGCUAAGUACAUCGUUUAUGCUACUUCCAUUUCUACGGAUAGAUAAAUUACUACAUUUGUUGUGGCUUGCUCUCCUCUUUUGACCUUCUUCAAUGUAGGUAAGUGCUUCUUUUGUCAUUAAUGUAUUAAUAACGUUACUCAGGCCAAUAACGUGUAUUAGGAAUAUUACCUCGGUACUAGCAUUGAGCAGUUAUAGUGGCUGCACUGCUGUCCUGCUGUUAUUGUUGGUGCCUUGAUGCUGUCCUAUUUCUUUUGUCCGCCUGUGAUACCCUAGCCGCCCUGCUUCUAAUUCCGGAACACUAAUCAAUUCUUGCCUUCGCAUGUAUGAAUUCUCAUGGUCUUCUUUGAUUGAAACUUAUAUUCCCUUUUGGAUAUAAUGAUUAUGAGGAGUGUGUUUCACAGCUAUACUGUGAUCUCUGUUUUGAAUUCAUAGUUUGCUUGCAUUAUAAUGUAGCUUAAAUUGCAAUUGAUACUGGUCGUUUUUCAAGAGUUAUUUAUUCAGUGCAUGCAUAUAGAUUCCUUUUUUAGGAUUUCUUUUUUCCCGUACCUAAGUUACAGGAUUGCAUUUUAUCGAUGUGAUCUGUUUACAUUCAUCAUUCUUCUUCAUAUCUAUCUUGUCCUGCAUAAUUUAAGUCUUUUUCUUAUAUGUGAAUAGAAAAAGUCUUUUUAAAUUUAAAAAUUACUUUUGUAAUUUAUCAACUUAUUAAUUUUUAUUUUUCAUGGAUAUGUACUUAUCUUUGUACCAGUUUUUAUGGUUACAAUAUGUUAUUUAUCUUUUUUUAAAUUAUGAUUUUAUUUUAAAUAGCCUUAUUUAGUUAUGUAUAAUGGUGGAAUUUAUUCUUAUUUAAUUUUAUGCUAACUUUUAAAUUUCUUUGUAUAUUUGUGUGAUAUGCACUAAUAUCAAUCUAGUAUUGACCAGCAUCGGAUUGAACAACGGAGACAAUUUAUUGGGGUUAUACAUCAUUAUGCUCAAAAGUUCUACAAAAUAUGACUGUUACAUAUUGGUAUCAUAAGACUUUUCAAAACCCUACCAAGAAGCGUCACAUUGAUAUUGUAUUAACCGUCCUACCUGUUAGUGUGAAAUAUGCUAGGAUGCAAAUGGAAUUUAUUUGGGUCCACAUCCAUGUCUGAAUGGGUAUAAGGGUAUGGAUAUUAAAUGUCCAUAUCAGUGUCAGUUUUGGUGGAUGUACAUAAGAUCAUCCCUACUGAACUACAUUUGUAUUCGUACUGUAUUUAAUAGAUGCCAUAUCCUAUCCAUUUGCAUCCUAUAGAUAGAAGGAUUAGCCUUCUUUACAUUAUUUUCUGCAGCUAUAUAACUACUUCAUAAAUCACCAUGUAUAUAGUAAUUAUUAUUUUUAACUGGAAACCAUCAUAACAUAUGUAUAAAAGCUGUGUACAAUAAAACACCGCUCUUGGAGUGUAUGACUCAUACAUAACCAAGAGUGCCGAUAAAAAUGAUUUGAGUACAGAACUCAAACCAUGCACAGCGCACAAAAGACAAAACUAUGAUAAUAACCCAGACAUGAAGGCCUCCUAAAUGAGCAAAAUUACAUUAGGGGAAUCUGUAAAACACUGAUCCAUGCCUCUGAUAUGAACUAGGAGCUUCUCAAGUUCAAAGCAGUAGUGCAGGUGGUCCAAAGAGUGCCCAUGUAUAUAUUAAUUGUUAUUCUAUUCAAGCGCAUUAGCUAAUUUUUGUUUCGAGUGCAAUAUCACCUGAGUAAUAUUAUGUUGAAUUUUUUUUUUACUAGUGCCAGUUUUGUGGCGAGAGAGGAUGCAAGCUGUUGCUAUCUAUGAAGAUUCAGUUAGCCUAUCGUGCUAAACUAACAAAUGAAGCAAAGGAAGCGCACUCUUGAUACUGGAAUACACAAUUAGGCUGUUUAGUCAAAGUGGUGAGAUUUCACUGUUAUUCUGCCACUUUGCUUUUCUGUGAGGAAGACUAACAUUUCGCAAGCUAGUUUUUUGGUGAGAGAUGCUGCUCAUGAAGAUGCAACCUGAGCUUUUUGGGGAAAUUCUAUGCAUUCUCUCCUGUCGGCAGGAAGAUUUAAUUAGAGUGACUUGCUGAUAUCGUCAGGCUUCUUUUGACUGCUACGAUGCACACGUAAAUACAAUACCAGCAUUCUUGAUCCAGCUUUCUGCAAUCAAAGUGAAAGCUUACUCCUAUCGCCUGUGAUUUCAACUGAACUCCUAGUACAGGUACUCGUCAGAACAAAGUAAACACGAAACCUGCAGCCAGCCUGCAGGCUAUACUUUUGGUGAUCAUGGGCUUCGUGGUUGUGAUAUCGCUACCCCUCGUCAUACUUGUCGCCAUUCUUGCAG